AACCAUUGAAGUUGGUCUUAUACAUGAACAUGAUACAAUAUUAAUUAGAGGAUUAAGAUGCUAAUAUCAUUAAAAAUAGGAGUCUUCUGAUUUAAAUAACGAUACGAUAGACCAUCACCUUAAGAUGGAUUAAGAUGGAUGAGUACGAUCAUUCAGUUGGAUUGCAUAGUGAUCCCAGAAAGGAUGUUCGUAUAUAUCUUUAUUGGGAUAUUAUGUGGGCCUCAACCACAUGGAAGGUAUUGAGUUUGCUAAUGCGACCAACAAGAAAUGUCUAACAAAAUAUUGCCAAUAAUACUCAUAUGAUUGUGAUGACAAAUCCAUUCCCGUCAAAUUGUAAUUUGCUUACGAGUAACCCGAACCAAAAACAAACGCAAGGAGCCAAUUGAAAAAUCUCGUAAGAAAGAAAGACUGAUGCUUUUUUGUUUUCUCUGUCCGUACUAUUUACAGCGUCUUGUACUGUUACCACUAUCACACUGUCUUGGUGUGCACACUUUCUCCAACAUUUUCUGUAUAUUCCUAAAUUAGACGCUGAAGGAGUUGAAGUACAGCAGAAAUGAAAAUGCAGAAGGGAAGUUUUAUGAGAAUUUAUUUGAGAAAAAUACGUUUAUAGAGAGAAAUCACAAUUUGAUAUGUGCUUAAUAACUUUCUUAGUCGUCCACAUGUUGACAGUGUUCCACAUAGGGAAAAAAAGAAACAUUGCAUGUGCUUAUAAUAAUUGGAUUACUCUUCAUAUUACUAAUUGAUUUUAUGAUGGAACAACAAUUUUUUUCACUACAUGUGUCAAAAUACAAAACAAUAUCCGUCUGUAAAUUAUGGUAGAACCCCAACUUUCUUUACUACAAGUGAACUAGCUUCUUGUAAAAUGCAAAACAAUGUUCGCUUGUAAUUAUAGCUGGAACCCUAACUUUCUUAACUACAAGUGAACUAGCUUCUUGUAAAAUGCAAAACAAUGUUCGCUUGUAAUUAUAGCUGGAACCCUAACUUUCUUAACUACAAGUGAACUAGCUCCUUGUAAAAUGCAAAAUAAUGCUCGCCUGUAAUUAUAUAUCUCUAAUUGUCUUUUUUGUGGUAUUUCUGUUGCAUGUUCUUACUGAUCGAAGGUUUGAUUGUCUAAUUUUUGUUUAACAUAAAGGGUGGAUAGAAGGAAUGAGUUCUGCUAAUUAAACAUUCUGGGAAAAUACCCCAGGCCUUGCGUAUAGAAGUUUAAGAAAGGUGAAAUUUUGAGAUAGGUUUGUUAACACUUAGAACCUUCCCAAACUAGCAAUGCACAGAUGAAAUUACUAAUUUAAGAGUGAUCGGUGAUUUUAAAUUGUAGAGCUUGGGGUAUAAAGCAACUCCACCACUACUACAAAGUCAUAAACAUAGGCUGGUAGUGGUAACGAGUCAUUUCAAUAAAGAGAUUCAGUCUCGGGUCAUUUCUGUUCUUGAAUUAGUAAUGGGAGAAAGUGGUUGCCAUAUACAAAAUCCUUAACACUUUAUUUUCUCUAUAUUCUACUAUGAGAUUGCAUUCGAUAUAUAAUUUUUAUUGGGGAUUUUCUACCACUUUUUUCUCCAGCAUCUUUUUCUGAUCAGGAUUCUGUCAUUAAGUCUCAUUUCCACUUCUGCUAGCACAUAAACAUAUUUUACACUCUACAUGUGCAAAAGAGCUAGCUAGUUUACUUUUGAUUAGAUUAUUGGCCAAUAAACUUUUAUCAUUGCGUAUAACAUUGUGGUAGUAGUUUAUCCAACCAUUAUUCAAAAAUUAAGGUGUUCAUACUAAUGGAUGCCUACGACAACACAUUUUACCACUAAAGACUUAAAUGUCAUAUUUGAGUUCUCAAUUAAAGUGAGAGUUAGAUUUAGGUUUUAAUAUGAGAUUUAGAAAAUGGUAAACAUACUCCUCAUUUUUCCUUCUUCACACUCGGGUGUGUGAGAAGUUAAAAAAGUAUAUGAAAAUUAGCUCAUCAUAUUUGUGUCCGAAGUAGAGUCCAUGCCAACAAGCAAAAAUGUAAAAUUUGAGUUUUGACUCCAAUCAUCUCCAAUGCAUAUAUAAAAAUUGUCAAAACUCAUUUCUAAUUUUUUUUCUUCAAUGCAAAGACUCAAAUCUUAAAACUCAUAAUAUAAGAAUAUAUGUUUAAAACUAUUAGUUUUUGCAUCUAAGGAGAAAAACCAAAAAACUCAAACCCACCAAUUUUUUUUUAACUCAAGUAUAAAAAUAGAGGACUAAAAAUAUACGUCAUGCAUUAAAGAAGGCAUCCCAAAAAACAAGCACAUAAGUAGAAUUCUCCCAACAAAAUUGCACUACAAGAAACAUGCAUGUUUCAGCCUAGCUAGAAGUUAAGAAAUUUAAGGUUUAUCAUGAUCAAGAUGAGUGGAAUAGGAUCUUCUUUCGACAGCGCACUAGCAAUCUGCUAGUAGCAAAUGAUGUGACCGCUUCAUAUUCUCAUUAAAAUUAAUUAAAAAAGAUAAAAAAGAGUGGGAAUAUGUUUGAACCAUUUGGUACUCGGGGUGCUAAUUAGUUAUAAAGGACCCUGGACGCUAGCAAGUUGACUAGGAGCAAGGUUUUAAAAGAU
rnacentral:lncRNA from 1 species